UUUAGGAUAAUGGAUUAGCUUGUUUAUGAUCGCACCACCGCACUCCAGUCUGGGCAACAUAGCGAGACUCCAUCUCAAAAAAAAAAAAAAAAAUCUAGUAGCCAUUAUUAGACCUGCAACAAGAUCCUAUUAUUGAGUGAAUACAGAAGCACAUUUGUCAUAAUUUUGCUUUUGAACCGUUUGAUUUGAGAUGGAGUCUAACUCACCCUGUCACCCAGGCGGAAGUGCAGUGGUGCCAUCUCGGCUCACUGCAAUCUCUGCCUCCCAGGUUCAAAUAAUUCUCCUGCCUCAGCCUCCCAAGUAGCUAUAGCUGGGAUUACAGGCGUGUACUACCACACUUGGCUAAUUUUUGUAUUUUUAGUAGACAUGUUGUUUCACCAUGUAGGCCAGGCUGGUCUUGAUCCUGACCUCAAAUGAUCUGCUCACCUCAGCCUUCCAAAGUGCUGGGAUUACAGGAAUGAGCCAGUGUGCCUGGCCAGAGUCUCAGUUUUAUAUAUAGUUAUUGGCAUGCUAUAUUGUGUCUUCAAAUAAAAUUAU
rnacentral:lncRNA from 1 species